CCUUCGCGAGGCCGCGUCGGGGCGAGGGCGGACGCCGGGCGAGGCCGCGUCGGACGAGCAGGGGUGGACGGGCGCCGGCGCGCGGACCGCAAGGCCGCCGGCAAGCUCUCCGCGAGGCUGCAGGCGAGGGCGGGCAGCAGGCGCGCGGGUGUGGGCGGGUUGCUGGCGCCGGCGGGAGCAAGUUCAUGAUAUAGCUGAGAAGUUGUGCUGGUAUCACUACAAAGGGACAAUUCAGGAAGCGGAUCACUGAACUUUCAAUGAAGCUUUAGCUGGAUGGAGUUAUGCUUGGCAUGUUGAGUCUAUUUUUUCAUUAGCACCAUUCUCAACAAAAAAAAUGAUGUAUAAAUUAUGUCUAGUUUCCUAAUUUGUUUGGAGCUGUAA